rnacentral:rRNA from 1 species
UACAGAGAGUGCAAGCGUUAAUCGGAAUUACUGGGCGUAAAGCGUGCGUAGACGGUUACGUAAGUCAGAUGUGAAAGCCCCGGGCUCAACCUGGGAAUUGCAUUUGAGACUGCGUAGCUAGGGUGCGGAAGAGGGAAGCGGAAUUUCCGGUGUAGCGGUGAAAUGCGUAGAUAUCGGAAGGAACACCAGUGGCGAAAGCGGCUUCCUGGUCCAGCACCGACGUUCAGGCACGAAAGCGUGGGGAGCAAACAGG